UACAGAGGUGCUCAAGCGUUGUUCGGAUUCAUUGGGCGUAAAGGGUGUGUAGGUGGCGCGCUAAGUCGGGUGUGAAAUUUCGGAGCUUAACUCCGAAACUGCAUUCGAUACUGGCGUGCUUGAGGACUGGAGAGGAGACUGGAAUUCAUGGUGUAGCAGUGAAAUGCGUAGAGAUCAUGAGGAAGACCAGUGGCGAAGGCGGGUCUCUGGACAGUUCUGACACUGAGACACGAAGGCCAGGGGAGCAAACGGG
rnacentral:rRNA from 1 species